UGACAGCCCAAGAUGCGGACAGCGAUGCCACGGUGCUGGGAACCAGCAGGGGACAGGGACGCGCCAACAGCAGCCCCAGGCAAGUGCAGCUGCGGACAUCCCCCAGCGCCGUCCGGGGCGUCAUCUACAGCGACCUCAACUUCUCGGUGAUCAUGGCGUGGACGGUCACAAUGGACCCCGAGCCCGAGCUGACCUGGACC
rnacentral:lncRNA from 1 species